rnacentral:rRNA from 1 species
GACAGAGGGUGCGAACGUUGUUCGGAAUUACUGGGCGUAAAGCGCGUGUAGGCGGCAAUGCAAGUCGGGCGUGAAAUCCCACGGCUCAACCGUGGAAGUGCACUCGAAACUGCAUAGCUAGAGUCCUGGAGAGGAAGGUGGAAUGCUUGGUGUAGAGGUGAAAUUCGUAGAUAUCAGGAGGAACACCAGUGGCGAAGGCGGCUUUCUGGACGGUAACUGACGCUGAGACGGCGAAAGCGUGGGGAGCGAACAGG